UAAUCUAUUUCAUUAACAAGUAUUUAGCAAUACAGAAAUAGCAAUGAUGUGCUAUGGCAAAUGCCACUGCUGAUUGCUCUCCUUCAAUUUCCUGCAUAGCUGAUUCAGCCUAUGACUGGAAAGACGAGAUAGAAAGACUGGACUUUUGAGAUCAGCCUGGGGUCCUAGGUGAAGAGAGAGAAAGAAGAGAAGACCCAUGAAGAGGAACAAAGAGGAGUGGAGAAAUUAUGCAGUGGCACCAGGAGGAUUUGCCAUAAGGUCCCAAUGAAAGAAUUGUCAUAAGGAAAAACAUGAACCAGAUGGAGACAAGGGAAGACAAGAUCAGCAAAUAUGAACACAGAGCUACCCUAGUCACAGAGCACAGACUGGAUAUUAGAAGGAUGGAAACUUGUCUCUCAGUUUUGGAAGCCAGAAGUCCAAGAAAACUGUCUUAGUGAGUUGGUUCCUCCUUGUGACUGUAAGGAUGGCUUUAUUCCAUGAAAGAUACAAACAAGAAUAGAUGCAACUUUAC